rnacentral:rRNA from 1 species
GAUGAACGCUGGCGGCGUGCCUAAUACAUGCAAGUCGAGCGAACGGACGAGAAGCUUGCUUCUCUGAUGUUAGCGGCGGACGGGUGAGUAACACGUGGAUAACCUACCUAUAAGACUGGGAUAACUUCGGGAAACCGGAGCUAAUACCGGAUAAUAUUUUGAACCGCAUGGUUCAAAAGUGAAAGACGGUCUUGCUGUCACUUAUAGAUGGAUCCGCGCUGCAUUAGCUAGUUGGUAAGGUAACGGCUUACCAAGGCAACGAUGCAUAGCCGACCUGAGAGGGUAAUCGCCCACACGGAAACUGAGACAGGGUCCAGACUCCUACGGGGGGAAGAAGUGGGAAAUCUUCCGCAAGGGGCAAAGCCCUGACGGAGCAACGCCGCGUGGGUAAUAAGGGUCUUGGGUUCGAAAAACUCUGUUAUUGGGAAAAAACAUAUGGGUAAGUAACUGGGCACAUCUGGACGGUACCAAUUAAAAAGGCCAGGGCAAACUACG